rnacentral:rRNA from 1 species
UCCUACGGGAGGCAGCAGUAGGGAAUCUUCCGCAAUGGACGAAAGUCUGACGGAGCAACGCCGCGUGAGUGAAGAAGGUUUUCGGAUCGUAAAACUCUGUUGUCAGAGAAGAACAAGUUGGAGAGUAACUGCUCCAGCCUUGACGGUAUCUGACCAGAAAGCCACGGCUAACUACGUGCCAGCAGCCGCGGUAAUACGUAGGUGGCAAGCGUUGUCCGGAUUUAUUGGGCGUAAAGCGAGCGCAGGCGGUUCCUUAAGUCUGAUGUGAAAGCCCACGGCUCAACCGUGGAAGGUCAUUGGAAACUGGGGAACUUGAGUGCAGAAGAGGAGAGUGGAAUUCCAUGUGUAGCGGUGAAAUGCGUAGAUAUAUGGAGGAACACCAGUGGCGAAGGCGACUCUCUGGUCUGUAACUGACGCUGAGGCUCGAAAGCGUGGGGAGCAAACAGGAUUAGAUACCCUAGUAGUCU